AUACACUAACGCGUUUCAGCUUUGUUUAGGCUUUAUCAAAGUGUUACAGAGUAUGGUGACCUUCACUGUUUAAAUGUCAGAUGCUAAUUCUGAAAAUAACAGUCACAUGAUCCUUCCCGGAACAUGAAAUGUUGCAAACACCAGGUCAAAGUCAGGGGUAAGGGCCACUUUAUCUGGUAGUGUAGGAGGAGGGCACUCUACCCAAAUCUUCACCCUGACCUCCUUAUCC